rnacentral:tRNA from 1 species
CUUCUGCCUUUUCAGUCCCGUAGUAGUUAGUGUGCACUUUAGCCCACUCUAAGAAGUCCUGAG